AUCUGCCUCUGCCUUCCACGGGACUAUCGCCUUGGAAAUUAAUUCUUUGAAAGGCAAGAUUUGUACAGAGCAGCUCGUUCUUCUCUCUGGGUGACAGUGCACGGGGCGUGCAGGCUGCUCACCCUGGCCCAGGGGAUGUGCUGUCAGUUACCCGGCUCCGCAGAGGUGGAAUAUGAAGGUGUGUCCAGAGGAAGAAAGUCGUGUUCUCCAGUGAGGACGAAGCUCUGAGACCAGGAAGGUCUCUGCACCUGUGUGGAGUGGAGGAGAAAACCUGGAACCAGUCCCUCCUGUGGAGCUCCUGAUCCCACAGGCCUCUCUGAGCUGAGCACCAGAGAAGGGACGGGAAAGGAGCGGGGGCAGAAGGUCUCCGGACAGCCGGCUCAUUAAUACAGCUAAUGCUAAUUAGCUGGUCUAGAGCAACAUGCAGGAGUGUAUGCUCGGACCCUGGCUCAGGAAACAUCACCCUUGGUGACUGCAUGGCUAGUGACGUGGAGCACCUUGGAAUUUGUAUGUGAGAGGCAGACAGAGAAGAUGAACAGGUGAGGUUCUGUCUGCUGGAGAGGGAGGGCCUCCGACGGCCGUCUCUCGCCCCUUUUCUUACCCACCAGCCAAGCAGGGUCUUCUCCAUGCAAGCCCAGAGACAGCACUGGGAACAGGCAGACUGGCCCCAGGAACGACCGUGACUUGGGGCCUCAGGGGGACAGUGUCUUUGGCUCUGGGCAGUUCAGUAACACGGAGAAGGAGGGACUGCAGAGGGAGCGCUCGUGCUUUUGUGAAGCGACUGUUAAGGAAAACUGACAGUGCUGGGGGCUGCCUCCUGUCCCACACUGUCCCAGCUUGUUGGCAAGAGGGACUCAUUCCAGGGACACUAACAAACACCACACUGAGGACAAACAAGCAGGGUGCACCCAGGGAGGGUGCUCAGGAGGUGUCGGAGGCUGUGAGCAGGCGAGGCCGACCCUGGGAGCAGGGCUGGCACCCCGGACGUGACCGAGAAGCGGCAUCUCCAUCCCCUUGAGUGACAAACUGAAGGUGGACGGCAAUUUAACUGUGCAGGUGGCCUCUGAGGCACGUUCUCAGGAGCUCCCGCGGCCUCAGCUGUGGGACAGGUAGAGUAGGAUCUGAUCUGGCAGCCAUUGGUGGCCACGGCACAGAAGGGUCAGCAAUGUCCCAUGAAGUGGAGCAGGUGAGACGCGUCAGGCAGCACCUGGACGCUGAGCAAUCAGCGGGGUGUGUCCUGGGGCUGGUGGCCUUCACGAGAGGAAGCUGGGCGAGGACACCCAGUGGAGCCCGUGCACCCAGGACCCCCAGGGAGGGCGGAGUGAUAGGCUGCACCUGGAGCAUGGGGUCGGCUGGGAAGAGGGACAGGAUGACAGCUGAAGCUACUUGAAGCUGUACUUGCAAGGACAGACUAGUAACCCUCUGUCCUAGUGGACAUCAUCGAAGACUCCCAGGCAUUGGCAUCAGAGCGAUAAUUUAGGCUCUGCCACAAUUUCCCUGCCCCAAAACAUAAUUACUGAAUA